GCCUUACACAUGCAGUCGAACGGAAAGGCCCUGCUUUUGUGGGGUGCUCGAGUGGCGAACGGGUGAGUAACACGUGAGUAACCUGCCCUUGACUUUGGGAUAACUUCAGGAAACUGGGGCUAAUACCGGAUAGGAGCUCCUGCUGCAUGGUGGGGGUUGGAAAGUUUCGGCGGUUGGGGAUGGACUCGCGGCUUAUCAGCUUGUUGGUGGGGUAGUGGCUUACCAAGGCUUUGACGGGUAGCCGGCCUGAGAGGGUGACCGGCCACAUUGGGACUGAGAUACGGCCCAGACUCCUACGGGAGGCAGCAGUGGGGAAUAUUGCACAAUGGGCGGAAGCCUGAUGCAGCAACGCCGCGUGCGGGAUGACGGCCUUCGGGUUGUAAACCGCUUUCGCCUGUGACGAAGCGUGAGUGACGGUAAUGGGUAAAGAAGCACCGGCUAACUACGUGCCAGCAGCCGCGGUGAUACGUAGGGUGCGAGCGUUGUCCGGAUUUAUUGGGCGUAAAGGGCUCGUAGGUGGUUGAUCGCGUUGGAAGUGUAAUCUUGGGGCUUAACCCUGAGCGUGCUUUCGAUACGGGUUGACUUGAGGAAGGUAGGGGAGAAUGGAAUUCCUGGUGGAGCGGUGGAAUGCGCAGAUAUCAGGAGGAACACCAGUGGCGAAGGCGGUUCUCUGGGCCUUUCCUGACGCUGAGGAGCGAAAGCGUGGGGAGCGAACAGGCUUAGAUACCCUGGUAGUCCACGCUGUAAACGGUGGGUACUAGGUGUGGGGUCCAUUCCACGGGUUCCGCGCCGUAGCUAACGCUUUAAGUACCCCGCCUGGGGAGUACGGCCGCGAGGCUAAAACUCAAAGGAAUUGACGGGGCCCCGCACAAGCGGCGGAGCAUGCGGAUUAAUUCGAUGCAACGCGUAGAACCUUACCUGGGUUUGACAUGGAUCGGGGAGUGCUCAGAGAUGGGUGUGCCUCUUUUUGGGGUCGGUUCACAGUGGUGCAUGGC
rnacentral:rRNA from 1 species